rnacentral:rRNA from 1 species
UACAGAGGUCUCAAGCGUUGUUCGGAAUCACUGGGCGUAAAGGGUGCGUAGGCGGGUUUUUAAGUCAGGGGUGAAAUCCUGGAGCUCAACUCCAGAACUGCCUUUGAUACUGAAGAUCUCGAGUCCGGGAGAGGUGAGUGGAACUGCGAGUGUAGAGGUGAAAUUCGUAGAUAUUCGCAAGAACACCAGUGGCGAAGGCGGCUCACUGGCCCGGUACUGACGCUGAGGCACGAAAGCGUGGGGAGCAAACAGG